rnacentral:rRNA from 1 species
AGCGAACGUUAGCGGCGGGCCUAACACAUGCAAGUCGAGCGAGAAAGUGGCUUCGGCCAUCAGUAAAGCGGCGGACGGGUGAGUAACACGUAGGUAAUCUUCCCUUGAGCGUGGGACAACGAGCCGAAAGGCUCGCUAAUACCGCAUACGUUCCCAGAGACCUCGGUCUUUGGGAGGAAAGCUAGGUAGCAAUAUCCGGCACUCGAGGAGGAGCCUGCGUCGCAUCAGCUAGUUGGUGGGGUAACGGCCUACCAAGGCGAAGACGCGUAGCUGGGCUGAGAGGAUGAUCAGCCACACUGAAACUGAGAAACGGUUCAGACUCCUACGGGAGGCAGCAGUGGGGAAUAUUGGACAAUGGGCGCAAGCCUGAUCCAGCCACGCCGCGUGAGUGAUGAAGGCCUUCGGGUCGUAAAGCUCUGUGGGGAGGGACGAACCGCUGUCGGUUAAUACCCGGCAGCAUGACGGUACCUCCUUAGCAAGCACCGGCUAACUUCGUGCCAGCCGCCGCCGUAA